rnacentral:rRNA from 1 species
AAGCUGGAAUUGCUAGUAAUGGCAGGUCAGCAUACUGCCGUGAAUACGUUCCCGGGCCUUGUACACACCGCCCGUCACACCAUGAGAGUUGGGAAUACCCGAAGCCUGUGAGCUAACUUAUAGAGGCAGCAGUCGAAGGUAGAAUCAAUGACUGGGGUGAAGUCGUAACAAGGUAGC